rnacentral:rRNA from 1 species
UACGGAGGGUGCAAACGUUAUCCGGAUUCACUGGGUUUAAAGGGUGCGUAGGUGGGCAGGUAAGUCAGUGGUGAAAUCUCCGGGCUUAACCCGGAAACUGCCGUUGAUACUAUCUGUCUUGAAUAUAGUGGAGGUGAGCGGAAUAUGUCAUGUAGCGGUGAAAUGCUUAGAUAUGACAUAGAACAUCGAUUGCGAAGGCAGCUCGCUACGCUAUUAUUGACACUGAGGCACGAAAGCGUGGGGAUCAAACAGG